CAUUACACAAAUAUGAAGCCGGACUGGGAUAGGGCCUCGCUGCCUUGCCCGUCUGGCGCCAUAUUCACCCAUGUCUUUUUGCGUACUACUUGUUUCCUUGGCGGGUCCGCCCGCCAAUUGGACCUUAUUCAAACCUUUUUUUCAGUUGCAAUCAGCGUCAGCAAAACAAAUGUAAUCAAUUACAACUUUCAACAACGGAUCUCUUGGUUCUGGCAUCGAUGAAGAACGCAGCGAAAUGCGAUAAGUAGUGUGAAUUGCAGAAUUCAGUGAAUCAUCGAAUCUUUGAACGCACAUUGCGCCCUUUGGUAUUCCAAAGGGCAUGCCUGUUCGAGCGUCAUUUGUACCCUCAAGCUUUGCUUGGUGUUGGGCGUCUUGUCUCUCUCCCGAGACUCGCCUUAAAAUCAUUGGCAGCCGGCCUACUGGUUUCGGAGCGCAGCACAUUAUUUGCGCUCUUGUCCAGCCGCGGUCGCGCGUCCAUGAAGCUUCUUUCAACCUUUUGACCUCGGAUCAGGUAGGGAUAC
rnacentral:rRNA from 1 species